AACUAACGCUGGCAGUGCGUCUUAAGCAUGCAAGUCAAACGGAAUGUAGCAAUACAUUCAGUGGCGAACGGGUGAGUAACGCGUGGAUGAUCUGCCUAUGAGAUGGGGAUAACUAUUAGAAAUAGUAGCUAAUACCGAAUAAGGUCAAUUAAUUUGUUAAUUGAUGAAAGGAAGCCUUUAAAGCUUCGCUUGUAGAUGAGUCUGCGUCUUAUUAGCUAGUUGGUAGGGUAAAUGCCUACCAAGGCGAUGAUAAGUAACCGGCCUGAGAGGGUGAACGGUCACACUGGAACUGAGAUACGGUCCAGACUCCUACGGGAGGCAGCAGCUAAGAAUCUUCCGCAAUGGGCGAAAGCCUGACGGAGCGACACUGCGUGAAUGAAGAAGGUCGAAAGAUUGUAAAAUUCUUUUAUAAAUGAGGAAUAAGCUUUGUAGGAAAUGACAAAGUGAUGACGUUAAUUUAUGAAUAAGCCCCGGCUAAUUACGUGCCAGCAGCCGCGGUAAUACGUAAGGGGCGAGCGUUGU
rnacentral:rRNA from 1 species